GACGAACGCUGGCGGCAUGCCUAAUACAUGCAAGUAGAACGCCGUUCCGAACGGGUGAGUGACGCGUAGGUCACUGCCUGGUAGCGGGGGGUAACUAUUGGGAAAGAUAGCUCAUUCCGCAUACUACUAGAUUGACCUGGGUGGUAUUAGCUAGUUGGUGGGGUAACGGCUCACCAAGGACACGAUCAAUAGCCGACCGGAGAGGGUGACCGGCCACACUGGAACUGAGCAACGGCCCAGACUCCGCCGGGAGGCAGCAGUAGGGAAUCUUCGACAAUGGGCGAAAGUCUGACCGAGCCACGCCGCGUGUGUGAAGAAGGUUUUCGGGUCGUAAAGCUCUGUUGGCAGAGAGGCGUUAUCUAACCAGGAAGCCACGGCUAACUCCGUGCCAGCCGCCGCGGUAAUAC
rnacentral:rRNA from 1 species